GGAUGCGAUCAUACUAGCACUAAAGCACCGGGUCCCAUUAGCACUCUACAGUUAAGCGAGCUUUAGUAAAGGUAGUACUAGGUUGGGUGAUCUCCUGGGAAGUCCUCGUGCUACAUCCU
rfam:Gossypium raimondii chromosome 6, whole genome shotgun sequence.